GUUGAUCCCUUGCCUAGAAUGUCGUUGCAAGGUGGUGACCUUCGUUUCCCGUGCGGGAGAACAGUUCUACAAAUGCGUCACGAAAGAUGUAAGUAGCUUCUCUUUGCAUAAAUUAAUAUAUUGACCUAUUUACAGUUUCCUCAUGAAUUUAUACACUAUGCGCAGGCUGGGCUAUGCCCGUUCAUGAGAACGACGGACACCUACCUGCCGGAGCUCACUCGUGUCGGUAUAGCUGAACCUCAGGUGCUGCAUCACUCCAUGGCCAUGCACCAAUCCGCCCCAGUUCAGCGUAGAUCCAGUCGGGAGCAGGAGUUCAUCGACGGCAGCCAGGGGGAGAUCCAGCCGGACCAUGCAGCUGCGAGGCUGCAGAUGCAGCAGGCGAACCACCACCCCCGUGCCCCAACUCACUGUUGCUCCUUCGCACCUCGAUGCUGCUGGCUGGAAGCAACUUUAUCCUUGUCGUCGCCCUGUUGUAUUUAAUCUUCGGCCAGCCGCGCAGUUAGGCUUUCAUCAGAUCUAGUGAUGUAUCAAGAGUUCAGUCGCCGGUCUAGCUCUUUUGUCUUGUAAUCGCACUCUCUAAUCGUGUGUUACACGGUAUCCCACCUGUUAGCACAAUUAGCACUCCAACUGCUCGGUGUGUUGUAUGUGUCAAUGUGUAGUAUUUUUAAUAUAUGUUUGCCGUUGUGUUCUUAUUAUUGUCCUAAUUUUUGUUGCAAGUUAUUACUGCGGGAAUAAUUUCUUAU
rnacentral:lncRNA from 1 species